AUCUAUUUGGCGAGUCCAAAAUAGGACGAAACGUGCGUCAAACUGGAU
rnacentral:hammerhead_ribozyme from 1 species